GGCCAGACUCCUACGGGAGGCAGCAGUGGGGAAUAUUGCACAAUGGGGGAAACCCUGAUGCAGCGACGCCGCGUGAGCGAAGAAGUAUUUCGGUAUGUAAAGCUCUAUCAGCAGGGAAGAAAAUGACGGUACCUGAGUAAGAAGCUCCGGCUAAAUACGUGCCAGCAGCCGCGGUAAUACGUAUGGAGCAAGCGUUAUCCGGAUUUACUGGGUGUAAAGGGGGCGCAGACGGCGAUGCAAGCCAGGAGUGAAAGCCCGGGGCCCAACCCUGGGACUGCUCUUGGAACUGCGUGGCUGGAGUGCAGGAGGGGCAGGCGGAAUUCCUGGUGUAGCGGUGAAAUGCGUAGAUAUCAGGAGGAACACCGGUGGCGAAGGCGGCCUGCUGGACUGCAACUGACGUUGAGGCCCGAAAGCGUGGGGAGCAAACAGGAUUAGAUACCCGAGUAAA
rnacentral:rRNA from 1 species